UACGGAGGGUGCAAGCGUUGUCCGGAUUUAUUGGGUUUAAAGGGUGCGUAGGCGGGUCUUUAAGUCAGUGGUGAAAGCCGACAGCUCAACUGUCGAAAUGCCAUUGAUACUGGGGAUCUUGAGUACAGUAGAGGUAGGCGGAAUUAAUGGUGUAGCGGUGAAAUGCAUAGAUACCAUUAAGAACACCGAUUGCGAAGGCAGCUUACUAUAGUGUAACUGACGCUGAGGCACGAAAGUGUGGGGAUCAAACAGG
rnacentral:rRNA from 1 species